UUUUAAGGAACGCCGACUAAGAACGCCCCGUCAUGGGGAAACAUCGGCAUGACCUGGGUCUACCGGG
rnacentral:sRNA from 1 species